GGGCGGUUAGCUCAGUUGGUAGAGCGUCUCAUUGACGUUGAGAAGGUCAGAGGUUCGAGCCCUCUACCGCCCA
rfam:Parcubacteria bacterium GW2011_GWA2_47_12 TX81_C0031, whole genome shotgun sequence.